CUCUCUCGCGCGCGCUCUCGCUCGCGCUCUCGCUCUCGCUCCUUGGCGACGAAGAAGAGGAUGGAGCUUCGUGAUCAGAUAUGUGGAGAGAGUAUACCAGAAAGAACGGGCUGGAUGCUAUAGAGAACUAUUGUAGCGGCAAGAAGAUACCCUAAUUCGGAAGCUUCUCUCACCAAUUCAGAGAAUCUUGCUGCUUUUGGGUGGUUGGCUCCAAGUUCGUUCGAUACUCGUACACUGAAGCAAUGAAAAAAGAGAAAAAGAAAGUUGUUUUUGACUAAUUUUAGCUUGCUUAUUAUGUUUAUUGGCUAACAAGUGUUCAAAAAGAGGGUGUGCUCACCUAACUGCCGUGUUAAAUCCUAUGGAAAUCAUCAGUGUCCAGAUUUGGUAGUUCAUGCUGUUGGACAAAACAAAUAAAUGAUCAGCUGAAUGAAAAAGAUAUUUUGAUUACAUAUUGAAAUAUGUACAGAUGUCCCCUUUGCAAUAUAUUUU